AGCAGCCGCGGUAAUUCCAGCUCCAAUAGCGUAUAUUAAAGUUGCUGCAGUUAAAAAGCUCGUAGUUGAAUUUCGGGAUCAAUAUGCUGGUCGUGCCUCGGUACGUACUAGCUUAUUGGUUUCUCCCUUCUGACGAACCAUGAUGUCAUUUAUUUGGUGUUAUGGGAAAUCAGGACUGUUACUUUGAAAAAAUUAGAGUGUUUAAAGCAGGCUCACGCUUGAAUACAUUAGCAUGGAAUAAUGAAAUAGGACGUUUGAUUCUAUUUUGUUGGUUUCUAGGAUCGACGUAAUGAUUAAUAGGGAUAGUUGGGGGCAUUAGUAUUCAAUUGUCAGAGGUGAAAUUCUUGGAUUUAUUGAAGACUAACUACUGCGAAAGCAUUUGCCAAGGAUGUUUUCAUUAAUCAAGAACGAAAGUUAGGGGAUCGAAGACGAUCAGAUACCGUCGUAGUCUUAACCAUAAACUAUGCCGACUAGGGAUCGGGUGAUGUUAAUUUUUUAAUGACUCAUUCGGCGCCUUACG
rnacentral:misc_RNA from 1 species